GAAACAAAUGAUGGACACAAAUGACAUCACCGAAUACGGGUACCAGAACCAUCAGAAGUUUUCUGCAUUACAUUGAAUCUGGUUUGAAGCCUUGAGAUAUGAGAUCUGCCCAAUAUCCGUCAUCAUGAGGGACCCACAGGUAGAGAUCAGGGCAGGUGAGCUCACGAACUUAGAGAAAAGACAUCUAGCUACCAAGGCAGCGUUGUAAAUCCAGCUACUCAUUGCUCAAGCACAAGCCUUCCUUCAAGACCGGCAACUCCUCUCUCCUCACAGCCCGCAAAGAGGCAGGAUUGUUCUGCUGCAGCUCCAGUAUGUCUGCUUUUGAGACCCUCUCCACCAGAAUCCUCGGGGUACCCUGGCAUGUCCUCAUCUAGACAACUGGAUAAUGCGCAAACAUCAUGUUCUGCCAAGAGUUUAGAAGUAGACGGGGGUUAGAGAUGUCUCUCCACCUUGCUACCAAGUCAGGUCCCUUUGGGGACAGGAAGUGAAGAGCUAUUAGUGUUUACAACUGGACAACAGGCAUAAACCAAAACUGUGCAGGCAGAGAAGGUCCUACGUCACUGCCUUCAUGAGGGAAAUUGAUCUCAGCAAAACCUGGCUACACUUGCAGACACUUGACGGCAAACAAAACAGACAGAACUUGUUAGGGGUAAUCUCUCGGCAAGUCUUUCUGAAGAAAGUUCCAGGCAGCGACCCUGCUCACUCCAUCCUGGGAAGUCUCUGGGGUCCCCUGGGGUCCCCUAGAGUCCCCAGUAUCACGCUUUUUCGCUGCUGGAGCAUUUGUUUUAAGAGAUUCUGCGUGCUGCCCAGAAGUGAGCUGGACCUUCAUUCGUGUGUAUGUUCAUUCAUUCCCACAUUUAACAGGUAUGUAUUGAGUGCCCAAAGCCCGCUGCGUCCUGGUCUAGGUGCUUUUCAUACCUCAGGGAGCAAAGAACAAGAACCCUGCCCCCUGCCACUUGGCAUCAUGGCCAUCCUAGUGGGUGGUGAGGAUGAUAAGAGAGGCAAGACAUUUCAGGCAAGAAGAAGAGCACAGGCUAGAGGCAAGAGUCAGAAGACAGCCUGGCAGUUCCCAGGAAAGAACUGCAAACUCUUCAAAAGUGCUGGAAGGUAA
rnacentral:lncRNA from 1 species